GUUUUCCGACAAUUUUGCUAUCCUGUUAUUCCACUAUGAUGGCCAUGUGACCGAAUGGGACGAAUUUGAGUGCUCAAAGCGAGCCAUCCAUAUCAGUGUCAGCAAACAAACUAAAUGGUGGUAUGCCAAAAGAUUCUUGCAUCCUGAUAUUGUGGCAGCUUAUGAGUACAUAUUCAUCUGGGAUGAAGACCUUGGGGUGGAUCAUUUCAACGCACAGGAGCACAUCAAACUUUGUUAACAAAGAUGGUCUAAUUAUCUCCUAGCCUGGCUUAGAACCUGAC